GUCCUCACUUUGUCAGUAUAUAUACAAAAAUUAGAAUGAUACAGAAAAGAUUAUCGUGGCUCCUGUGCAAGGGUGACGCACAAAUACAUGAAACCAAAGAUGCUAAA